rnacentral:rRNA from 1 species
GCAAUGGGGGCACCCUGACCGAGCAACGCCGCGUGAGUGAAGAAGGUUUUCGGAUCGUAAAGCUCUGUUGUAAGUCAAGAACGAGUGUGAGAGUGGAAAGUUCACACUGUGACGGUAGCUUACCAGAAAGGGACGGCUAACUACGUGCCAGCAGCCGCGGUAAUACGUAGGUCCCGAGCGUUGUCCGGAUUUAUUGGGCGUAAAGCGAGCGCAGGCGGUUUGAUAAGUCUGAAGUUAAAGGCUGUGGCUCAACCAUAGUUCGCUUUGGAAACUGUCAAACUUGAGUGCAGAAGGGGAGAGUGGAAUUCCAUGUGUAGCGGUGAAAUGCGUAGAUAUAUGGAGGAACACCGGUGGCGAAAGCGGCUCUCUGGUCUGUAACUGACGCUGAGGCUCGAAAGCGUGGGGAGCGAACAGGAUUAGAUACCCUGGUAGUCCACGCCGUAAACGAUGAGUGCUAGGUGUUGGAUCCUUUCCGGGAUUCGGUGCCGCAGCUAACGCAUUAAGCACUCCGCCUGGGGAGUACGACCGCAAGGUUGAAACUCAAAGGAAUUGACGGGGGCCCGCACAAGCGGUGGAGCAUGUGGUUUAAUUCGAAGCAACGCGAAGAACCUUACCAGGUCUUGACAUCCCGAUGCUAUUUCUAGAGAUAGGAAGUUACUUCGGUACAUCGGUGACAGGUGGUGCAUGGUUGUCGUCAGCUCGUGUCGUGAGAUGUUGG